rnacentral:rRNA from 1 species
GUAGGGAAUAUUGGGCAAUGGAUGCAAGUCUGACCCAGCCAUCCCGCGUGCCGGAAGAAGGCCCUCAGGGUUGUAAACGGCUUUUGACGGUGAAGAAUCGACAGGAUGCGUCCUGUUUUGACGGUAGCCGUUGAAUAAGCACCGGCUAACUCCGUGCCAGCAGCCGCGGUAAUACGGAGGGUGCGAGCGUUGUCCGGAUUUAUUGGGUUUAAAGGGUGCGUAGGCUGGAAGGUCAGUCAGCGGUGAAAAGCUGUCGAUUAACGAUAGUCUUGCCGCAGAUACUUCCUUUCGUGGAUGAGGAGGAGGCCACUGGAACGGAUGGUGUAGCGGUGAAAUGCAUAGAUAUCAUCCAGAACACCGAUUGCGAAGGCAGGUGGCUGUACCUUAAUCGACGCUGAUGCACGAAAGCAUGGGGAGCAAACAGGAUUAGAUACCCCGGUAGUCC